rnacentral:rRNA from 1 species
CUACUUGGAUAACCGUGGUAAUUCUAGAGCUAAUACAUGCUAAAAACCCCGACUUCGGGAGGGGUGUAUUUAUUAGAUAAAAAACCAAUGCCCCUCGGGGCUCCUUGGUGAUUCAUGAUAACUUAACGGAUCGCAUGGCCUUGCGCCGGCGACGGUUCAUUCAAAUUUCUGCCCUAUCAACUUUCGAUGGUAAGGUAUUGGCUUACCAUGGUUUCAACGGGUAACGGGGAAUUAGGGUUCGAUUCCGGAGAGGGAGCCUGAGAAACGGCUACCACAUCCAAGGAAGGCAGCAGGCGCGCAAAUUACCCAAUCCCGACACGGGGAGGUAGUGACAAUAAAUACUGAUACAGGGCUCUUUUGGGUCUUGUAAUCGGAAUGAGUACAAUUUAAACCCCUUAACGAGGAACAAUUGGAGGGCAAGUCUGGUGCCAGCAGCCGCGGUAAUUCCAGCUCCAAUAGCGUAUAUUAAAGUUGUUGCAGUUAAAAAGCUCGUAGUUGAACCUUGGGCCUGGCUGGCCGGUCCGCCUCACCGCGUGUACUGGUCCGGCCGGGCCUUUCCUUCUGGAGAGCCGCAUGCCCUUCACUGGGUGUGCCGGGGAACCAGGACUUUUACUUUGAAAAAAUUAGAGUGUUCAAAGCAGGCCUUUGCUCGAAUACGUUAGCAUGGAAUAAUAGAAUAGGACGUGCGGUCCUAUUUUGUUGGUUUCUAGGACCGCCGUAAUGAUUAAUAGGGAUAGUCGGGGGCAUCAGUAUUCAAUUGUCAGAGGUGAAAUUCUUGGAUUUAUUGAAGACUAACUACUGCGAAAGCAUUUGCCAAGGAUGUUUUCAUUAAUCAGUGAACGAAAG